UGGCUCAGUGGUUGAGAGCACUGACUGCUCUUCCAGAGGUCCUGAGUUCAAAUCUCAG
rfam:Rattus norvegicus chromosome 8, whole genome shotgun sequence.